UAGAAUUCAUUUGUAAUUUCAGCACCAUCAAGUUUAAAUUUAGGACCACAACUUACAACUGUAGCAAGAGCAAACACGAAGUAAGAAACAAGUAAACAAGCUAGCACUAUAGUUUGAACAAAAAUUUGUAUGUGGAUAUGGAAACAUACCACCAUGAGUGUUAGUUGUUAUUGAUGACUAAUCCAGCCGCCACAAUAUACGACACAGCCUGCAGAAUAACAUGGCUCAGUAAAAUUAUAUGGAUAGUAGCCAGAGUGCUGUUAUGCAUUCAAGGGCAAUGAUGAAACCAACACCAAAAACGGAUUUAGUCAUCUGAAAUAGAACCAAAACAUUUAGCUCUAGUUGGUUUCAGUCAUCCAACAGGAAAUAGACAAACCUAUAGGUGCUCACCAUGCUUUGGAACAAACCUACAGCCCCAAACCCACCGAAAUGAAUUUAUAUGGCCAUCACCAGCUCCAUUGCUAAUUCUGUACACCUACAGUCAAAAUGUUUGGCGUGAACAAACAGAUUAUUUAUUGUGACAUAAAUCCACUACAACCUCAAAUUCCAUAAAUAUGCAUGGACAGGAGCAUACAACAUAAGCAUGGCUCAAUGGCUAUGGACACAACAAGAAGUAACACGGUAGGGAGAGGGAGAGAGUAUACCUUCCAUGGCAUCGUCCAUGAGUUGCUCCAUGAACU
rnacentral:lncRNA from 1 species